AGCGAACGCUGGCGGCAGGCCUAACACAUGCAAGUCGAACGAACUCUUCGGAUUUAGUGGCGCACGGGUGAGUAACACGUGGGAACGUGCCUUUAGGUUCGGAAUAACUCAGGGAAACUUGUGCUAAUACCGAAUGUGCCCUUCGGGGGAAAGAUUUAUCGCCUUUAGAGCGGCCCGCGUCUGAUUAGCUAGUUGGUGAGGUAAAGGCUCACCAAGGCGACGAUCAGUAGCUGGUCUGAGAGGAUGAUCAGCCACAUUGGGACUGAGACACGGCCCAAACUCCUACGGGAGGCAGCAGUGGGGAAUAUUGCGCAAUGGGCGAAAGCCUGACGCAGCAAUGCCGCGUGAAUGAUGAAGGUCUUAGGAUUGUAAAGUUCUUUCACCGGGGACGAUAAUGACGGUACCGGGAGAAGAAGCCCCGGCUAACUUCGUG
rnacentral:rRNA from 1 species